GCAGUGGUGGUUCAGUGGUAGAUUUCUUGCCUUCUGUACAGGAAACCCAGGUUCGAGUCCCGGCCAGUGCA
rnacentral:tRNA from 1 species